rnacentral:rRNA from 1 species
AUUGAACGCUGACGGCAGGCCUAACACAUGCAAGUCGAACGGCAGCACAGAAGAGCUUGCUCUUUGGGUGGCGAGUGGCGGACGGGUGAGUAAUGUCUGGGAAACUGCCCGAUGGGGGGGAUAACUACUGGAAACGGUAGCUAAUACCGCAUAACGUCGCGAGACCAAAGUGGGGGACCUUCGGGCCUCACACCAUCGGAUGUGCCCAGAUGGGAUUAGCUAGUAGGUGGGGUAAUGGCUCACCUAGGCGACGAUCCCUAGCUGGUCUGAGACGAUGACCAGCCACACUGGAACUGAGACACGGUCCAGACACCAACGGGAGGCAGCAGUGGGGAAUAUUGCACAAUGGGCGCAAGCAUGAUGCAGCCAUGCGGCGUGUAUGAAGAAGGCCUGCGGGUUGUAAAGUACUUUCAGCGGGGAGGAAGGAGGUGAGGUUAAUAACCUUGCCGAUUGACGUUACCCGCAGAAGAAGCACCGGCUAACUCCGUGCCAGCAGCCGCCGUAA